rnacentral:rRNA from 1 species
UACGGAGGGUGCAAGCGUUAUCCGGAUUCACUGGGUUUAAAGGGUGCGUAGGUGGGCAGGUAAGUCAGUGGUGAAAUCUCCGGGCUCAACCCGGAAACUGCCAUUGAUACUAUCAGUCUUGAAUAUCGUGGAGGUAAGCGGAAUAUGUCAUGUAGCGGUGAAAUGCUUAGAUAUGACAUAGAACACCAAUCGCGAAGGCAGCUUACUACGGAUCGAUUGACACUGAGGCACGAAAGCGUGGGGAUCAAACAGG